rnacentral:lncRNA from 1 species
AUGUCCCCAUGCUGGCAGCCAGGUCACCUUGUGCUCAUCAUCCCCCGGCACCAGGGCACCUGUCCCAGGGCUGAGACAGGGCGGACCCGGCUGGCCUGGGGUGCAAGGCUGCGCAGCUUUGCUGUGCUACGGGCAAACUUUAAUUUCCCUCCUCUCUCUGUCCCCAAUCUUUUUCCUUUGCUCUUGCCUUUUAAUUUUCCCUGUCCCCUUUUCUUUUUCCUCCUCACUUUCUCCCCUUUAGUUUUCCCAGUCCACUUUGCUUUCCCCUUUCCCUUUUCUUUUCCUUUUUCUCCUUUCAUUUUCUCUUUUCUCUUUCCUUUCCCUUUUCCUGUUCUCACUCUUUUCCUCUUCCCUUUUUCUCCUUUCCUUUUCCUUUCCCCCUUAUCAUCUUUCCCUUUCAUUUUUUUUCAUUUCCUGCUUCUUUUUUUUUUCUGUUCCUCUUCUUUACCUUUACUCUUUCUCUUCCAGUUUCCCUUUCCCCUUCCAUCUCCACAUUUUCUUUUUCCUUUCCUCCUUCCCUUCCUUUUUUUUUCUUCCCAUUUCCCUUUCCUUUCAUUUUCCCCUCCUCUCCAUUUCCUCAUCGUUCUCCUCUCCUUUCCCUUUCCCUUCUCCUUCCCCCGUCCUUUCUCCCUUUCACCCCUUUUUCCCCGCUCCCCCUGUACCCCGACACCCACCUCCCGGAGCCGGCAGCUGCCCCGGGACCGCUUCAGCCCGGCCCGGCCCCGCUGGGCGGCAGCGGAGGGGUCUCACCGGGGGGCUCCGGCCGCGGGGCUCCGACCCCUGCCCGCCGCCGGAGCCGCUGCGCGGAGUCCGUCCAGGCUCGGGCGCUACCCUCGCACCUCGCCGGCACCGGGGCGCUCCGGGGGGGCGGCCCCGUGCCCCCCAUCCCGACGAGGGUACCCCUCCCGACCCGCCGCGACCCCCGCCUCGCCCUCACCUCCGAGCUGGUCUCGUCGGACCCGAGAUGGACAUCAACGCCGGGGAGCCGAGCGGCCGGACGGGCGAUGCAUGGGGGGCCAGACCCAAACACACGCUGGCCCCCCGCACCGGACCCCGCGGAGCCUCCAAAUAUCUCCCGGCUGAAGUCACCGGCCCGACAUACCGUGCGCUGCGCGCCCGGCGGCGCAGCCCCGCGGACACCCGCUUGGCCCCGCGGCGGCCGUGCCGGGCCGUGCCGGGCCGGGGUAACCCAACACCGAGCCUCGGCGGCUGCAGGGGCUCCGGCACGGCCCGGCACGGCCCCCCCC